rnacentral:rRNA from 1 species
GAUGAACGCUGGCGGCGUGCCUAAUACAUGCAAGUCGAGCGAACAGAUGAGGAGCUUGCUCCUCUGACGUUAGCGGCGGACGGGUGAGUAACACGUGGAUAACCUACCUAUAAGACUGGGAUAACUUCGGGAAACCGGAGCUAAUACCGGAUAAUAUAUUGAACCGCAUGGUUCAAUAGUGAAAGAGGGUUUUGCUGUCACUUAUAGAUGGAUCCGCGCCGCAUUAGCUAGUUGGUAAGGUAACGGCUUACCAAGGCAACGAUGCGUAGCCGACCUGAGAGCGUGAUCGGCCACACUGGAACUGAGACACGGUCCAGACUCCUACGGGAGGCAGCAGUAGGGAAUCUUCCGCAAUGGGCGAAAGCCUGACGGAGCAACGCCGCGUGAGUGAUGAAGGUCUUCGGAUCGUAAAACUCUGUUAUUAGGGAAGAACAAAUGUGUAAGUACCUAUGCACGUCUUGACGGUACCUAAUCAGAAAGCCACGGCUAACUACGUG